UACAGAGGUCUCAAGCGUUGUUCGGAUUCAUUGGGCGUAAAGGGUGCGUAGGCGGCGCGGUAAGUCGGGUGUGAAAUCUCGGAGCUUAACUCCGAAACUGCACUCGAUACUGCCGUGCUUGAGGACUGGAGAGGAGACUGGAAUUUACGGUGUAGCGGUGAAAUGCGUAGAUAUCGUAAGGAAGACCAGUGGCGAAGGCGGGUCUCUGGACAGUUCCUGACGCUGGAGACGCGAAAGCGUGGGGGAGCAAAACAGGG
rnacentral:rRNA from 1 species